CUCAGCAUGGUAGAAUGUUUUUUUGUGUGUUUUUUUGACACUAUACAAGGGAGACUUUGUCAUCACGGGUUACUACUAGCAAAAACUGUUUUGUAUUAAACCACUGUUUUUAGUUAGAGUAACACUUUAAGAACACCUCUAGUGGUUGUCACGUAGAUAGCCAUUGUAGGUACUUCCUAUUAUGGUCUUGCAAUAUUUGCAAGACCGACAUAAUUAAACUCUGAAUAAUUACAUCACACAAAUGGGUAGGCAGUGGCCCAAGCAAAGGGAAUCCCUCAAAACCCUUUGGAGAGAACAAGAACAACAAAAGAAAAUGGAAGCACUGUGCCACAGGUAAACACUAAUAGUACAACUUAUUUGGCACAAAAGCAGAACUAGAUCUGGUGCAAAAAUCUCACAAAGAAAGUUUUUAUAAUCCAAAGAUGAAAAUGGUCAGUGCUUGAUAGGAUGUAUUGUCCCCAGUUCAGAUUUGGAAGAGCUAUAGCCAGCUCUAGCAGUAUAGGCAUACAGCGGUAUAAUCCCCACUUUAAAGGAUAUGCAGCAAAUGUCCACCACGCCCACACACUCAGGAAGGAAUAAAAAGGCAACAGAUAGUGCUCUCAAUAAAAUAGAGUAAUCGCUAAUAAAAUGAAGUAAAAUUAUACUUACAAUGAUAGAGCAGGCUAACUGCUCUAUGAACACAGCGUUGGUGGUAUUAUCCCCACCUUGGGAUUACCUGAAGUAUAAAAUUUAAAAUUACCAGGGAAAGUGCAUAUAACAAAGGAGAUUGGCACACAAAGGUGACCAAAAAACCAUAAGUUAAAACACACAAUAUUAAAUGUCCAUAACGCGUUUCACCUUUACAGGCUUUAUCAAUGGAGUAAAAAAGGUACUCCUGGUAUCAUAACCAGGACCAAGUAUUGUAAUGGUAAUGAUGCCCAG